AUAAGGACCAUCAGAGGUUGGAGGAAGGUGACAUUCAAGCUGCUGAGCUAGAGUUUGAGGAUUGACACCUGGUUGCGGAGAAAAGAUCGACACCUCCAUAGUGGUUGUUCACGGAAGAAGUGCUCUGAGAGAGACAGUAUUAUCCAGGAACAAUCUGUAGCUCUUCUGAUGUUUUGCUGAAGGACCUGGAGCCCCCUCUCGGGAGGAAUCUGAUUUGACUGCCUCCAGCUGCUCAUGGGAGCCCUAAAUGAAGGAUUUGGAAAGCUACUGGGGGAAUUCCAGAAAAAGACAAACUACUCCUGUCCUGCUGAGGGUCUCCCCUUGAGCUUCUCUUCCAGAGGAGCACUGUGACCCCAGACAAAGAGAGGAGUUCUGGGAAGCCACGGGAGCCUGCAUAACUGCCAAAGAAUGGCUGACUCCAGAGCGACCGACCGAGGCCUGCUGGUUCUUAGACUCUCGUGGAUAGGAGCUGGCACAGAAGGGGAAUUUGACACGUUUAUUGAAUGAAUGGUCAGUGAGAAGUAUGAGUUCUGGGGAGGAAAUAUGCUACUUCUACAGGCAUGGAUCAAGCACCAUCGAGAUCAUGAGUGAACACCAUGAAGAGUAAACACCAUGCAGAUCUCAUGUUUUCAGGACCCCAAGUGUCCAGUGACUAGAAUGAUACACACAAAGUAACAUGGCAAAGAUUCAGCAGAAGGAGAAACUGGGUACCACUGAGACACCUUCCCUGACCAGAAUCACUGUUGGUCACUGGUCACUGGUCACUUCCUCAGCCCACCUGUGGCUCUAAUUCCCAUAGCAUCCUUCCCUUGGGGGGCUUUGGCCUCUGGGAAGAAAUGAAUGUGGCCCUUGGAGAGCCCUGCAUUCUUGCACAGGUGAUCACCCCAUCCAAUUCAAUGUGAACUCAAGUAGAAAGGAUUGUGACCUUUCCAGAGGCCAGAAUCAUUGUUCUAGAACUGGAAGGGGCCACGGCAGUUCUUUGGCCUGGUUCUAAUCUUCUGUCUGAAGAAAUCAUUGCAGUGGGGUGCGACUAUUCUAAUGCCUGGCCCCAGAAUUCUCUUCUGGAGGAGAACUGUCUUGAGACCCUGAGGGCGAAGUUGGCAAGAGACAAAAUGAUGAAGAGAGAACUGCUGUCUUGUGCAUAAAAAUAAAUAGGGACUUUGGGUGAGAGACUCUGAAGGAGAGGAAGUACAGGAGGAGGGGACUUCUCAGGGGGAAAUGAAACUUGAAACUUAUACUUGUGGAAAUUUUAAGAACAAGGAUGUCUAAUUUUUGAUUGCACAGUUUUUAUUUGUGAGUGCUGUAAACCAUUCUCUCUCUUCGAUAAAGA